AUAAAUGCUGGCGGCGUGCCUAAUACAUGCAAGUCGAGCGGAAAGGCUACUUCGGUAGUACUCGAGCGGCGGACGGCAGAGUAACGCGUAGGAAUGUACCCCGAAGUGAGGGAUAGCCCGCCGAAAGGCGGAUUAAUACCGCAUAUUCUCUUAGGAGCAAAGCUUUUAGCGCUUCGGGAACAGCCUGCGUCCAAUUAGCUUGUUGGUGAGGUAAUAGCUCACCAAGGCGACGAUUGGUAGCUGGUCUGAGAGGAUGAUCAGCCUGACUGGAACUGAGACACGGUCCAGACUCCUACGGGAGGCAGCAGUAGGGAAUUUUCCACAAUGGGCGAAAGCCUGAUGGAGCAACGCCGCGUGCAGGAUGAAGGCCCUCGGGUCGUAAACUGCUUUUAUGUGCGAAGAAUUUGACUGUAACACAAGAAUAAGGGUCGGCUAACUACGU
rnacentral:rRNA from 1 species